CCUACGGGCGGCAGCAGUGGGGAAUAUUGGACAAUGGGGGCAACCCUGAUCCAGCCAUGCCGCGUGUGUGAAGAAGGCCCUCGGGUUGUAAAGCACUUUCAGUGAGGAAGAACGCCUGGUGGUUAUUACCCAUCAGGAAAGACAUCACUCACAGAAGAAGCACCGGCUAACUCCGUGCCAGCAGCCGCGGUAAUACGGAGGGUGCGAGCGUUAAUCGGAAUUACUGGGCGUAAAGCGCGCGUAGGUGGCUUGAUAAGCCGGUUGUGAAAGCCCCGGGCUCAACCUGGGAACGGCAUCCGGAACUGUCAAGCUAGAGUGCAGGAGAGGAAGGUAGAAUUCCCGGUGUAGCGGUGAAAUGCGUAGAGAUCGGGAGGAAUACCAGUGGCGAAGGCGGCCUUCUGGACUGACACUGACACUGAGGUGCGAAAGCGUGGGUAGCAAACAGGAUUAGAUACCCCUGUAGUC
rnacentral:rRNA from 1 species